GUACGUAGGUGGCAAGCGUUAUCCGGAUUUAUUGGGCGUAAAGGGUGCGCAGGCGGUCUGUUUAGUCUGGGGUGAAAGCGUUGAGCUCAACUCAAUUAAGCCUUAGAUACUGGCAGACUAGAGUGCAGAAGAGGGUUAUGGAAUUCCAUGUGUAGCGGUAAAAUGCGUAGAUAUAUGGAGGAACACCGGCGGCGAAGGCGGUAACCUGGUCUGUUACUGACGCUCAGGCACGAAAGCGUGGGGAGCAAAUAGGAUUAGAUACCCUAGUAGUCCACGCCCUAAACGAUGAUUACUAAAUGUUGGGGAAACUCAGUGUUGUAGCUAACGCAAUAAGUAAUCCGCCUGGGGAGUAUGCACGCAAGUGUGAAACUUAAAUGAAUUGGCGGGG
rnacentral:rRNA from 1 species